UACGUAGGUGGCGAACGUUGUCCGGAUUUACUGGGCGUAAAGCGCGCGCAGGCGGACCGUUAAGUCAGAGGUGAAAUCUCCCGGCUCAACUGGGAGCGGCCCUUUGAUACUGUCGGUCUUGAGAUGCCUAGAGGAGAGUGGAAUUCCCGGUGUAGUGGUGGAAUGCGUAGAUAUCCGGAGGAACACCAGUGGCGAAGGCGGCUUCCUGGACCGACACUGACGCUGAGGCGCGAAAGCCAGGGGAGCAAACGGG
rnacentral:rRNA from 1 species